AUUGAACGCUGGCGGCAGGCCUAACACAUGCAAGUCGAACGAGUGGCGGACGGGUGAGUAAUGUCUGGGAAACUGCCUGAUGGAGGGGGAUAACUACUGGAAACGGUAGCUAAUACCGCAUACUCUGAGAUGUGCCCAGAUGGGAUUAGCUUGUGGGUGGGGUAACGGCCCAUCAAGGAGACGAUCCCUAUCUGGUCUGAGAGGAUGACCAGCCACACUGGAACUGAGACACGGUCCAGACUCCUACGGGAGGCAGCAGUGGGGAAUAUUGCACAAUGGGCGCAAGCCUGAUGCAGCCAUGCCGCGUGUAUGAAGAAGGCCUUCGGGUUGUAAAGUACUUUCAGCGGGGAGGCGUUACCCGCAGAAGAAGCACCGGCUAACUCCGUGCCAGCAGCCGCGGUAAUAC
rnacentral:rRNA from 1 species